UGGGGAAUUUUGGACAAUGGGCGAAAGCCUGAUCCAGCAAUGCCGCGUGAGUGAAGAAGGCCUUCGGGUUGUAAAGCUCUUUUGUCAGGGAAGAAACGGUGAGAGCUAAUAUCUCUUGCUAAUGACGGUACCUGAAGAAUAAGCACCGGCUAACUACGUGCCAGCAGCCGCGGUAAUACGUAGGGUGCAAGCGUUAAUCGGAAUUACUGGGCGUAAAGCGUGCGCAGGCGGUUUUGUAAGUCUGAUGUGAAAUCCCCGGGCUCAACCUGGGAAUUGCAUUGGAGACUGCAAGGCUAGAAUCUGGCAGAGGGGGGUAGAAUUCCACGUGUAGCAGUGAAAUGCGUAGAUAUGUGGAGGAACACCGAUGGCGAAGGCAGCCCCCUGGGUCAAGAUUGACGCUCAUGCACGAAAGCGUGGGGAGCAAACAGGAUUAGAUACCCACGUAGUCCCUGAGCGGGCUGGCAAGGCG
rnacentral:rRNA from 1 species